AGUGAACGCUGGCGGUAGGCCUAACACAUGCAAGUCGAACGGCAGCACAGUAAGAGCUUGCUCUUACGGGUGGCGAGUGGCGGACGGGUGAGGAAUACAUCGGAAUCUACUUUUUCGUGGGGGCUAACGUAGGGAAACUUACGCUAAUACCGCAUACGACCUACGGGUGAAAGCAGGGGAUCUUCGGACCUUGCGCGAUUGAAUGAGCCGAUGUCGGAUUAGCUAGUUGGCGGGGUAAAGGCCCACCAAGGCGACGAUCCGUAGCUGGUCUGAGAGGAUGAUCAGCCACACUGGAACUGAGACACGGUCCAGACUCCUACGGGAGGCAGCAGUGGGGAAUAUUGGACAAUGGGCGCAAGCCUGAUCCAGCCAUACCGCGUGGGUGAAGAAGGCCUACGGGUUGUAAAGCCCUUUUGUUGGGAAAGAAAAGCAGCAGGUUAAUACCCCGCUGUUCUGACGGUACCCAAAGAAUAAGCACCGGCUAACUUCGUG
rnacentral:rRNA from 1 species